UUUCUUUUUUUUUUUUUUUCCUCCGAGGCUGCACUUUGGAAGAGGUGCAGUCAUUCCUACCCACACCCCCUACCCUCUCUCCACUCCCCCAACUAUAAAUUCCCUUCUGUAGCAUGCUGCCCUUUUGUAAUCCACAUUUGUGUUUCAGAUCAUGUAGAAAGGACAGAAAGUGAGCAGGGAGCGGGGGCUUUUGUCUAUUGUUCUCCUUGUGCUACUUGAGAGAAACUGCAAUCCCAAGACUUAACAGAACCUAAAAAUGUUUUGGAGAACAUAGACAGAAAUUUACUGGAGGAACAAAGUAAUUCGCAGCCAUUUUAUUGCUUGAUGGAACUUUCCACAUAAUAUACAUUUGUUUUUUAUUUUCUCUGAAAUAAAUGUAUUCUUUCUCUUUCAAGGAGUGCAAUACUCUGGUAAUAGUUUACUCUUAGUAAAAUUAAUUAAUUCGGUAAGAAGUUGGAGGAGCAUUUAUGACUGUGUUCACAAUGUACUGCUUAAUUUUUUUUCUCUUAUUCUUUGUAUGCAUGGUAAAUAUUAACAAUGUUUUGCAAUGAUUUUUGUGUAUUAAUGAAAUAAAAAAGCAGCAUGACACUUGUAGCACACAAGCAGGAUUAAUCCUAGCUGGUGCAGAAAUGUGAAAAUUGAUCUCUCUUCCUAAAAAUUGCAUCAC